ensembl:lncRNA
GAGAGAAAGAGAGAGUGGUAGGACUAAGGAGUAGGGAGGAGUAGGGUCUAGGAGAGAAUAGAGUACUGUGAGAGAAGACUGUUUAUACAGAAAGAAAGAAGAUUCAGUAGAGAAGAGAGAAAAAGAAUCUGGACCAAGUGAAAAAUAGAGGUAGUUGUAAGGGAAUUGGGACAGCAGACUGAGAAGGGAGGACUUUUUAUGACAAUUGAAGCAGGGGAAGCUGAUCUGAGCCAAAAUAUUGGUAGGAGGGUCAUAAAACAAAGAAACAAAACAAGACAAAAACACUUCACAAAGUAGCCGAAAGAAAGAAAUUAAAAAGAAACAUAAAACUAUAUGCACAAGGCUACAAGCCUGAAUGAGAAUUUAGUUGGAAGCACUGGAAAAAUUAUUUUAAGGUAAGAAGUAUACAUUCAAAACCAUCUCACAGUGUUCCCAAAUAAGGUGAAGCUUUAACUAAAAGUGGAUUACUACGUGAUGCUCAUACCAAUAGCAACAAGAAGAAGCCUGAACUGCAGGGAUGGAAAUAGAGAAGAGCCUGAGGAAAAGAAAGUCCAGCAACAGGCCCAAAAAUGAAUCCAGCUCAAGGGCAGGCCCCAAGGCCUGACACCAUUACUAAGGCUAUGGAGCACCCACAAAAAGGGACCUACCAUGAGUGAGCUCCGAAAGAUACCCAACCAAUGAACAGAAGCUGCUGACCCCCAUGGUUGAAUUAGGGCAAAGCUGGAGGGCAAU